AUAUGAACGUAGACAUGGCCGACGCGGAUAAAUGAGUAGUAUCUGUUCUGAUCGGCUCAUUCCUGAUGCGGGUUGCAUUUGGCCCUAAGCUAUUAAACUUAUUUUUGCAAGUUGGUGGAGUGCUUAAAGCCUGCUCAACUCCGCCGCGAGUCGGCCCGGUGUUGUCCUAUCUUCGGGAUCAGCCAACGUAUG